rnacentral:rRNA from 1 species
GAUGAACGCUAGCGGGAGGCCUAACACGUGCAAGCCGAGCGGUAUUGUUUCUUCGGAAAUGAGAGAGCGGCGUACGGGUGCGUAACACGUGUGCAACCUGCCUUUAUCUGGGGGAUAGCCUUUCGAAAGGAAGAUUAAUACUCCAUAAUAUAUUGAACGGCAUCGUUCAAUAUUGAAAGCUCCGGCGGAUAGAGAUGGGCACGCGCAAGAUUAGCUAGUUGGUGAGGUAACGGCUCACCAAGGCGAUGAUCUUUAGGGGGCCUGAGAGGGUGAUCCCCCACACUGGUACUGAGACACGGACCAGACUCUUACGGGAGGCAGCAGUGAGGAAUAUUGGUCAAUGGGUGCAAGCCUGAACCAGCCAUCCCGCGUGAAGGACGACUGCCCUAUGGGUUGUAAACUUCUUUUGUAUAGGGAUAAACCUACCCUCGUGAGGGUAGCUGAAGGUACUAUACGAAUAAGCACCGGCUAACUCCGUGCCAGCCGCCGCAGUAA